rnacentral:rRNA from 1 species
UGAACCUGGAGCUUGCUCUGGGGGAUUAGUGGCGAACGGGUGAGUAACACGUGAGUAACCUGCCCUGGACUCUGGGAUAAGCGUUGGAAACGACGUCUAAUACCGGAUAGGACCUCGGAUCGCAUGAUCUGGGGUGGAAAGUUUUUUCGGUCUGGGAUGGACUCGCGGCCUAUCAGCUUGUUGGUGAGGUAACGGCUCACCAAGGCGUCGACGGGUAGCCGGCCUGAGAGGGUGACCGGCCACACUGGGACUGAGACACGGCCCAGACUCCUACGGGAGGCAGCAGUGGGGAAUAUUGCACAAUGGGCGCAAGCCUGAUGCAGCAACGCCGCGUGCGGGAUGACGGCCUUCGGGUUGUAAACCGCUUUUAGUAGGGAAGAAGGGCUUCGGCUUGACGGUACCUGCAGAAAAAGGACCGGCUAACUACGUGCCAGCAGCCGCGGUAAUACGUAGGGUCCGAGCGUUGUCCGGAAUUAUUGGGCGUAAAGAGCUCGUAGGCGGUUUGUCGCGUCUGCUGUGAAAACUAGAGGCUCAACCUCUAGCCUGCAGUGGGUACGGGCAGACUGGAGUGCGGUAGGGGAGAAUGGAAUUCCUGGUGUAGCGGUGGAAUGCGCAGAUAUCAGGAGGAACACCGAUGGCGAAGGCAGUUCUCUGGGCCGUAACUGACGCUGAGGAGCGAAAGCGUGGGGAGCGAACAGGAUUAGAUACCCUGGUAGUCCACGCCGUAAACGUUGGGCGCUAGAUGUGGG